rnacentral:rRNA from 1 species
AGGACGAACGCUGGCGGCGUGCUUAACACAUGCAAGUCACGGGGGCUCGCAAGAGCAACCGGCGAACGGGUGCGUAACACGUGAGCAACCUACCGAUUUGUGGGGGAUAGCCGGCCUAACGGCCGGGUAAUACCGCAUAUGCUUUCCGGGAGACCUCUCCUGGUUAGGAAACCUCCGGGGCAAAUCGAGGGGCUCGCGGCCUAUCAGCCAGUUGGCGAGGUCACGGCUCACCAAGGCGACGACGGGUAGC